AUACUUUAUUUUCUCUUCAGAUGUAAUAAAUCUUUUACUUUUCACUAAAGAUUUCCGUAGAGAGGAACAACUAUGAGUUUUCUGUAAUUUUUUGAGGCCUGGUGACCAACGGGGCU